GUCGAGCGGAUGAAGGGAGCUUGCUCCUGGAUUCAGCGGCGGACGGGUGAGUAAUGCCUAGGAAUCUGCCUGGUAGUGGGGGAUAACGUCCGGAAACGGGCGCUAAUACCGCAUACGUCCUGAGGGAGAAAGUGGGGGAUCUUCGGACCUCACGCUAUCAGAUGAGCCUAGGUCGGAUUAGCUAGUUGGUGGGGUAAAGGCCUACCAAGGCGACGAUCCGUAACUGGUCUGAGAGGAUGAUCAGUCACACUGGAACUGAGACACGGUCCAGACUCCUACGGGAGGCAGCAGUGGGGAAUAUUGGACAAUGGGCGAAAGCCUGAUCCAGCCAUGCCGCGUGUGUGAAGAAGGUCUUCGGAUUGUAAAGCACUUUAAGUUGGGAGGAAGGGCAGUAAGUUAAUACCUUGCUGUUUUGACGUUACCAACAGAAUAAGCACCGGCUAACUUCGUGCCAGCAGCCGCGGUAAUACGAAGGGUGCAAGCGUUAAUCGGAAUUACUGGGCGUAAAGCGCGCGUAGGUGGUUCAGCAAGUUGGAUGUGAAAUCCCCGGGCUCAACCUGGGAACUGCAUCCAAAACUACUGAGCUAGAGUACGGUAGAGGGUGGUGGAAUUUCCUGUGUAGCGGUGAAAUGCGUAGAUAUAGGGAAGGAACACCAGUGGCGAAGGCGACCACCUGGACUGAAUACUGACACUGAGGUGCGAAAGCGUGGGGGAGCAAACAGGAUUAGAUACUCUG
rnacentral:rRNA from 1 species